UACGAAGGGGGCUAGCGUUGUUCGGAAUUACUGGGCGUAAAGCGCGCGCAGGCGGCUCUUCAAGUCAGGGGUGAAAGCCCAGAGCUCAACUCUGGAACUGCCUUUGAGACUGAAAAGCUUGAGUACGGGAGAGGUGAGUGGAAUUCCCAGUGUAGAGGUGAAAUUCGUAGAUAUUGGGAAGAACACCGGUGGCGAAGGCGGCUCACUGGCCCGUUACUGACGCUCAGGCGCGACAGCGUGGGGAUCAAACAGG
rnacentral:rRNA from 1 species